AUGGGCGUCAAAAUAAUUUUGAUGCACACCAAUUUUUAUGCGAGCAACAAUUUUGACACGCAACAUUUUUUUGUAAUGGUGCAUUUUUUGACGGCAAAUUUUCGAUACAGUUUUGCAAAAACAUUUGCAGGUGGCAAACGCAGAAAUUCGCAUUACAUUCCUGCUGAAUUUAUUCACCCAUCACUAGUGAUGAGCGAAAUGUCAAAAAAAUGCGAAACAAAGUAAGCUCAAUAGGUGUCAAAAAAUGUUUUAUGCUCGACAAUUUCUUACAUGCGUGAACAUUUUCUUGCUCCAAGUGUAUUAAAGUUGAUGUGAGUUUG